GACGAACGCUGGCGGCGUGCUUAACACAUGCAAGUCGAACGGAAAGGCCCUGCUUGCAGGGUACUCGAGUGGCGAACGGGUGAGUAACACGUGGGUGAUCUGCCCUGCACUUCGUGAUAAGCCUGGGAAACUGGGUCUAAUACCGGAUAGGAGCCAUUUUUAGUGCGAUGGUUGGAAAGUUUUUUCGGUGUAGGAUGAGCUCGCGGCCUAUCAGCUUGUUGGUGGGGUAAUGGCCUACCAAGGCGGCGACGGGUAGCCGGCCUGAGAGGGUGGACGGCCACAUUGGGACUGAGAUACGGCCCAGACGCCUACGGGAGGCAGCAGUGGGGAAUAUUGCACAAUGGGCGCAAGCCUGAUGCAGCGACGCCGCGUGGGGGAUGACGGCCUUCGGGUUGUAAACUCCUUUCGCUAGGGACGAAGCUUUUUGUGACGGUACCUAGAUAAGAAGCACCGGCUAACUACGUG
rnacentral:rRNA from 1 species